rnacentral:rRNA from 1 species
GACGAACGCUGACGGCGUGCUUAACACAUGCAAGUCGAACGAAGUGGCGAACGGGUGAGUAACGCGUAAUCAACCUGCCCUUCAGAGGGGGACAACAGUUGGAAACGACUGCUAAUACCGCAUACUGAAGGAGGGGAUUGCGUCUGAUUAGCUAGUUGGAGGGGUAACGGCCCACCAAGGCGAUGAUCAGUAGCCGGUCUGAGAGGAUGAACGGCCACAUUGGGACUGAGACACGGCCCAGACUCCUACGGGAGGCAGCAGUGGGGAAUCUUCCGCAAUGGACGAAAGUCUGACGGAGCAACGCCGCGUGAGUGAUGACGGCUUUCGGGUUGUAAAGCUCUGUUAAUCCGGCCGCGGUAACUGAAUAGAAAGCCCCGGCUAACUACGUGCGAGCAGCCGCGGUAAUUC